AUGGCGCCUAGGAAUGGCUACACAGGAGAAGGAGGGAGCUCAGUCAUAUCCAUAGAUCUAAGCCAUGGCAGCGUUGAAUCAGGCGAAUCUCUUCAGGUUAUGUUUGCUCCCCUCUCUUUUCCCACUCCCCCCUUUUUUUGGUCAGAUCCGCUUCUUCUUAACCUCUUUUCAUCUUCUGAUCUGCAGCCCGUCCAGCCUACGGCCGAUGUACCUCUAGAAGAGAUUCCGGAUCCAGAGUUCUUCGGCAUAGAUACUUCCUCUCCACAUAGGUGCCAUCACGAAAUGCGUCCAACAAGAAAAGUGGCUUUCGUCUACGCGGCCACAGGCAGGAGGUUCCUUGGAUGCCCUCUCUCGGGACCUGAUAGGUGCUCCUGGUUCAUGUGGAUAGAUGAAGCAUGGGGUCCUGUACUUAGCCGUUCAUUAAUACAACUCUGGGAUCAGGCUCUCCUGGACUCUGAAAGAGCAGCAAGGUUGCAGACAAAGAAAAAGGAAAUGGAGCAGGCAUACUUAGAGUUGUGGACUGAGAGGAGCAAUAUGGAGAUUGAAAACCAGCAGGUGGUCAACAAGUUGAAGACCACAAUACUCGACAUUGAGAUUAAGAUGUCAAGGAGGUUGGAAUUUCACAUUAAGAUGUGUGUGGCAUUUAUUUCUUCAGCUGUUACCCUUGCUUCAGUGCUCGCUUAUGUGCUGUCUGCACACUAG
rnacentral:rRNA from 1 species